rnacentral:rRNA from 1 species
GUGGGGAAUCUUCCGCAAUGGACGAAAGUCUGACGGAGCAACGCCGCGUGAACGAUGACGGCCUUCGGGUUGUAAAGCUCUGUUAUACGGGACGAAUGGUACGACGGCCAAUACCCGUCGUAAGUGACGGUACCGUAAGAGAAAGCCACGGCUAACUACGUGCCAGCAGCCGCGGUAAUACGUAGGUGGCAAGCGUUGUCCGGAAUUAUUGGGCGUAAAGGGCGCGCAGGCGGCGUCGUAAGUCGGUCUUAAAAGUGCGGGGCUUAACCCCGUGAGGGGACCGAAACUGCGAUGCUAGAGUAUCGGAGAGGAAAGCGGAAUUCCUAGUGUAGCGGUGAAAUGCGUAGAUAUUAGGAGGAACACCAGUGGCGAAAGCGGCUUUCUGGACGACAACUGACGCUGAGGCGCGAAAGCCAGGGGAGCAAACGGGAUUAGAUACCCUUGUAGUCC